UUAAAUUGAAGAGUUUGAUCAUGGCUCAGAUUGAACGCUGGCGGCUGGCCUAACACAUGCCUGUCGAACGUUAACAGGAAUCAGCUUGCUGCUUAGCUGACGUGUCGCGGUCAGGUGCGUAAUGGCCAGGUAAUUG
rnacentral:rRNA from 1 species